GGCGGCGUAUCCGAAUUGGCACAGGAGGGGGCCUUAAAAGCCUCUGGCCGAAAGGCUAUGUGGGUUCGACUCCCACCGCCGCUACCA
rnacentral:tRNA from 1 species